rnacentral:rRNA from 1 species
CAGCAGUCGCCACGGGAAUACAGAGGGUGCGAGCGUUAAUCGGAUUUACUGGGCGUAAAGCGUGCGUAGGCGGCUUCUUAAGUCGGAUGUGAAAUCCCUGAGCUUAACUUAGGAAUUGCAUUCGAUACUGGGAAGCUAGAGUAUGGGAGAGGAUGGUAGAAUUCCAGGUGUAGCGGUGAAAUGCGUAGAGAUCUGGAGGAAUACCGAUGGCGAAGGCAGCCAUCUGGCCUAAUACUGACGCUGAGGUACGAAAGCAUGGGGAGCAAACAGGAUUAGAUACCCCUGUAGUCCCUGUCUCUUAUAA